rnacentral:rRNA from 1 species
GACGAACGCUGGCGGCGUGCCUAAUACAUGCAAGUCGAACGCUUCUUUCCUCCCGAGUGCUUGCACUCAAUUGGAAAGAGGGGUGGCGGACGGGUGAGUAACACGUGGGUAACCUACCCAUCAGAGGGGGAUAACACUUGGAAACAGGUGCUAAUACCGCAUAACAGUUUAUGCCGCAUGGCAUAAGAGUGAAAGGCGCUUUCGGGUGUCGCUGAUGGAUGGACCCGCGGUGCAUUAGCUAGUUGGUGAGGUAACGGCUCACCAAGGCCACGAUGCAUAGCCGACCUGAGAGGGUGAUCGGCCACACUGGGACUGAGACACGGCCCAGACUCCUACGGGAGGCAGCAGUAGGGAAUCUUCGGCAAUGGGCGAAAGUCUGACCGAGCAACGCCGCGUGAGUGAAGAAGGUUUUCGGAUCGUAAAACUCUGUUGUUAGAGAAGAACAAGGACGUUAGUAACUGAACGUCCCCUGACGGUAUCUAACCAGAAAGCCACGGCUAACUACGUG